AUACGGAGGGUGCAAGCGUUACUCGGAAUCACUGGGCGUAAAGCGCGCGCAGGCGGUCUUUUAAGUUGGAUGUGAAAGCCUACGGCUCAACCGUAGAACUGCAUCCAAAACUAUUAGACUAGAGUGUGCGAGAGGAAGAUGGAAUUAGUUGUGUAGGGGUAAAAUCCGUAGAGAUAACUAGGAAUACCAAAAGCGAAGGCAAUCUUCUGGAACACUACUGACGCUGAGGCGCGAAAGCGUGGGGAGCAAACAGCAUUAGAUACCCUAGUAGUCC
rnacentral:rRNA from 1 species